GACGAACCGUGCGAACGUUAUUCGGAAUCACUGGGCUUAAAGCGCGUGUAGGCGGGCCGGCACGUCGGUCGUUGAAAUCCCCCGGCUCAACCGGGGAAGCGGCGCCGAUACGACCGGCCUCGAGGGACGUAGGGGGGGCUGGAACUUCCGGUGGAGCGGUGAAAUGCGUUGAGAUCGGAAGGAACGCCCGUGGCGAAAGCGAGCCCCUGGACGUCUACUGACGCUGAGACGCGAAAGCCAGGGGAGCGAACGGG
rnacentral:rRNA from 2 species